rnacentral:rRNA from 1 species
GACGAACGCUGGCGGCGUGCUUAACACAUGCAAGUCGAACGGAAAGGCCCUGCUUGCCGGGUACUCGAGUGGCGAACGGGUGAGUAACACGUGGGUGAUCUGCCCUGCACUUCGGGAUAAGCCUGGGAAACUGGGUCUAAUACCGGAUAGGAGCCAUUUUUAGUGUGAUGGUUGGAAAGUUUUUUCGGUGUAGGAUGAGCUCGCGGCCUAUCAGCUUGUUGGUGGGGUAAUGGCCUACCAAGGCGGCGACGGGUAGCCGGCCUGAGAGGGUGGACGGCCACAUUGGGACUGAGAUACGGCCCAGACUCCUACGGGAGGCAGCAGUGGGGAAGAUUGCACAAUGGGCGCAAGCCUGAUGCAGCGACGCCGCGUGGGGGAUGACGGCCUUCGGGUUGUAAACUCCGUUCGCUAGGGACGAAGCUUUUUGUGACGGUACCUAGAUAAGAAGCACCGGCUAACUACGUG